ACCUAUGGUAUGCUACUGUGGUGCCAGUCCAGAUGCCUACUCGUCCUUGGAGUACCCUGUUCCUCUUUGGAAUCCGGCCUACUUGGUUUCCUUGUGAAUUCAGGUCUCUAAUAGGUAAAAGCAAAGUUAUGAUUUUGCUGUUUAUCUAGUUUUACAUGGUAGGGUGGAUAUGACACUCUUUCAUGCUUUAUAUAUCUUAUGACAAAUUGGAACUCUGUCCAUCUUCCAGUGCACCUAAAAUUGAAAUAUUGGCAUCAGGAAUGCAGCACUGCAAAAUAUAUGAUCGUUGUAAGUCACAAUUCAUAAUUGAAAUAUCUCCUUCCUAUUCAAUCAGAAUAGGACAGCGCUGGUUUACCUUCUGCUGGUUGUAUUUUGACUUCUACUGAUCGCUAAACCCCCUUUAAGAAAAUGAGCCUAUUUAUAUUUUAUUUUUAGGAAUUUUGUAGAAACUAGAAUCUUCAUUGGAUCUUUGCUGAAGAAGGAACAGGCAAGUCCCAGAAGGGAUCUUUGCUGAUUCUGUGAUUUCAGCUAGAUUCCCAUGAUUGGGAAUCAUGGGAGUAAAUCUGGAUCCAAGAAGAAUAAAUCCCAAAGAAACACUGCAAGGCCGAGGAAUCAGGGUGAUGUUGGCCUGGUUCAUCACCCUUCGAACUGCAUCCUAAAGGCUCCAGUGUGAUACAUCCAUCUCAACAGAGAAUCAGGAUGGCUACCCAAAACAAGAUGCUUGCAGCUGAUGGUAUUCCACUAUGCUGGGCUCUCUGGAAGCAAUCAAGGAAAUCUCAAACUCACGUGAUAUUUGCAUCCACAAGAUCAACACUGG